GGAGACGUGGCAGAGCGGCCGAAUGCACCGGUCUUGAAAACCGGCGGGUGUCACAGCCCCAGGGGUUCAAAUCCCCUCGUCUCCGC
rnacentral:tRNA from 1 species